UACGUAGGUGGCAAGCGUUAUCCGGAAUCAUUGGGCGUAAAGCGCACGUAGGCGGUCCGUUAAGUCGGGAGUGAAAGCCCCAGGCUCAACUUGGGAAGUGCUUUCGAAACUGGCGGACUUGAAUACUGAAGAGGAUCGCGGAAUUCCCGGUGUAGAGGUGAAAUUCGUAGAUAUCGGGAGGAACACCAGCGGCGAAGGCGGCGAUCUGGGCAGAUAUUGACACUGAGGUGCGAAAGCGUGGGGAGCAAACAGG
rnacentral:rRNA from 1 species